rnacentral:rRNA from 1 species
UUACAUGAGCAAAAUCUCAACUUUAUUAGAAGAGACGCAUUUAUUAGAUAAAAAGCCAAUGCAUGCUUUUACAGUAUGAAAAUUGGUGAUUUAUAAUAACUUAGCAAAUCGCAUAGUGAAAACAGGCGAUAAAUCAUUCAAGUUUCUGACCUAUCAGCUUUCGACGGUAUGGUAUUGGCUUACCGUGGCAGUGACGGUUAACGGGGGAUUAGGGUUCGAUUCCGGAGAGGGAGCCUGAGAAACGGCUACCACAUCUAAGGAAGGCAGCAGGCGCGCAAAUUACCCAAUUCUAACAGUUUGAGAGAGGUAGUAACAAGAAAUAACAAUACAAGGCAGUUAAAAUGCUUUGUAAUUGGAAUGAUAGAAAUUUAAACCCUUUUUAAAGUAUCAAUUGGAGGGCAAGUCUGGUGCCAGCAGCCGCGGUAAUUCCAGCUCCAAUAGCGUAUAUUAAAAUUGUUGCAGUUAAAAAGCUCGUAGUUGAAGUUCUGCUAAAAGUAACCGGUCUGCUUUGAAUAAAAGUGGUAUCUUGGUAUGUAUUUAGCAAUGAUGUCCUUUGAAGUGUUUUUUACUUUAUUGUAAUAAAGCAUAUUCAGGACUUUUACUUUGAGAAAAUUAGAGUGUUUCUAGCAGGCCAACGCUUUGAAUACUGCAGCAUGGAAUAAUAAGA